rnacentral:rRNA from 1 species
AGAGUUUGAUCCUGGCUCAGGACGAACGCUGGCGGCGUGCUUAACACAUGCAAGUCGAACGGAAAGGCCCUGCUUUUGUGGGGUGCUCGAGUGGCGAACGGGUGAGUAACACGUGAGUAACCUGCCCUUGACUUUGGGAUAACUUCAGGAAACUGGGGCUAAUACCGGAUAGGAGCUCCUGCUGCAUGGUGGGGUUGGAAAGUUUCGGCGGUUGGGGAUGGACUCGCGGCUUAUCAGCUUGUUGGUGGGGUAGUGGCUUACCAAGGCUUUGACGGGUAGCCGGCCUGAGAGGGUGACCGGCCACAUUGGGACUGAGAUACGGCCCAGACCCCUACGGGAGGCAGCAGUGGGGAAUAUUGCACAAUGGGCGGAAGCCUGAUGCAGCAACGCCGCGUGCGGGAUGACGGCCUUCGGGUUGUAAACCGCUUUCGCCUGUGACGAAGCGUGAGUGACGGUAAUGGGUAAAGAAGCACCGGCUAACUACGUG